GACGAACGCUGGCGGCGUGCUUAACACAUGCAAGUCGAACGGAAAGGCCCUGCUUUUGUGGGGUGCUCGAGUGGCGAACGGGUGCGUAACACGUGAGUAACCUGCCCUUGACUUUGGUAUAACUUCAGGAAACUGGGGCUAAUACCGUAUAGGAGCUCCUGCUGCAUGGUGGGGGUUGGAAAGUUUCGGCGGUUGGGGAUGGACUCGCGGCUUAUCAGCUUGUUGGUGGGGUAGUGGCUUACCAAGGCUUUGACGGGUAGCCGGCCUGAGAGGGUGACCGGCGACAUUGGGACUGAGAUACGGACCAGACUCGUACGGGAGGCAGCAGGGGGGAAUAUUGCACAAUGGGCGGAAGCCUGAUGCAGCAACGCCGCGUGCGGGAUGACGGCCUUCGGGGUGUAAACCGCUUUCGCCUGUGACGAAGCGGGAGUGACGGUAAUGGGUAAAGAAGCACCGGCUAACCACGUG
rnacentral:rRNA from 1 species